GUAUCCUUAGCUCAGUUGGUAGAGCGUCCGGCUGUUAACCGGAUUGCCGCAGGUUCAAGUCCUGUAGGAUACG
rnacentral:tRNA from 1 species